rnacentral:lncRNA from 1 species
UUGUGAACUGAUCACUUUUUUGAUUAGCUUGAUUGAACCAAUCAUUCUGGCAAUAAUCAUCUGCCAAUCCUCGUGCUAAAGAUUCAGUAAUAUUAUUGUCGUAAGUAUUUGAAUGAAAUGAAGGACUCCUGGGGGAAGGUUGCUUAAAGUGAUUGGAACAAGGGCCGGAUUUAUUAAAGGAUGCUAUUCUUCUCAAAGCCGCAACAUCAAUUUGGAGGGUACCAGGAGAUAAACCGCACAACUCCAACAGAAAAGCACAAGAUGCCACCAACACUGAAUCAGCAAAAUGCACAAUAGCAAGGGGCACGACACAAGUAUUUGAAUGAAAUGAAGAACUCCUGGGGGAAGGUUGCUUAAAGUGAUUGGAACAAGGGCUGGAUUUAUUAAAGGAUGCGAUUCUUCUCAAAGCCGCAACAUCAAUUUGGAGAAUACCAGGAGAUAGACCGCACAACUCCAACAGAAAAGCACAAGAUGCCACCAACACUGAA